AACGAACGCUGGCGGCAGGCUUAACACAUGCAAGUCGAGCGCCCCGCCAGGGGAGCGGCAGACGGGUGAGUAACGCGUGGGAACGUACCUUUUGGUUCGGAACAACUCCGGGAAACUGGAGCUAAUACCGGAUAAGCCCUAACGGGGAAAGAUUUAUCGCCGAAAGAUCGGCCCGCGUCUGAUUAGCUAGUUGGUGAGGUAACGGCUCACCAAGGCGACGAUCAGUAGCUGGUCUGAGAGGAUGAUCAGCCACACUGGGACUGAGACACGGCCCAGACUCCUACGGGAGGCAGCAGUGGGGAAUAUUGGACAAUGGGCGCAAGCCUGAUCCAGCCAUGCCGCGUGAGUGAUGAAGGCCUUAGGGUUGUAAAGCUCUUUUGUCCGGGAAGAUAAUGACGGUACCGGAAGAAUAAGCCCCGGCUAACUUCGUG
rnacentral:rRNA from 1 species